UACGAAGGGGGCUAGCGUUGUUCGGAAUUACUGGGCGUAAAGGGCGCGUAGGCGGUCUGACAAGUGGAAGGUGAAAUCCCCGCGCUUAACGUGGGAACUGCCUUCCAAACUGUUUGACUUGAGUCCGGGAGAGGUGAGUGGAAUUCCCAGUGUAGCGGUGAAAUGCGUAGAUAUUGGGAGGAACACCAGUGGCGAAGGCGGCUCACUGGACCGGAACUGACGCUGAGGCGCGAAAGCGUGGGGAGCAAACGGG
rnacentral:rRNA from 1 species